AGAGUGAACGCUGGCGGUAGGCCUAACACAUGCAAGUCGAACGGCAGCACAGGAGAGCUUGCUCUCUGGGUGGCGAGUGGCGGACGGGUGAGGAAUACAUCGGAAUCUACCUUUUCGUGGGGGAUAACGUAGGGAAACUUACGCUAAUACCGCAUAAGACCUUCGGGUGAAAGCCGGGGACCUUCGGGCCUGGCGCGGAUAGAUGAGCCGAUGUCGGAUUAGCUUGUUGGCGGGGUAAAGCCACCAAGGCGACGAUCCGUAGCUGGUCUGAGAGGAUGAUCAGCCACACUGGAACUGAGACACGGUCCAGACUCCGUACGGGAGCAGCA
rnacentral:rRNA from 1 species